UGGGGAAUAUUGGACAAUGGGCGAAAGCCUGAUCCAGCAAUUCCGCGUGUGUGAAGAAGGCCUUCGGGUUGUAAAGCACUUUAGUGGGGGAAGAAACAGCUUGGCCACACCAAGCCUUGACGGUACCCCAAGAAUAAGCACCGGCUAACUCUGUGCCAGCAGCCGCGGUAAUACAGAGGGUGCAAGCGUUAAUCGGAAUUACUGGGCGUAAAGGGUGCGUAGGUGGUUUUUUAAGUCGGAUGUGAAAGCCUGGGGCUCAACCUCAGAAUUGCAUUCGAUACUGGGAAACUAGAGUUCGGUAGAGGGCGGCGGAAUUUCCGGUGUAGCGGUGAAAUGCGUAGAUAUCGGAAGGAACAUCAAUGGCGAAGGCAGCCGCCUGGGCCUGGACUGACACUGAGGCACGAAAGCGUGGGUAGCAAACA
rnacentral:rRNA from 1 species